CUUUUUUAAAAGGUGAAGCGAGGGAAAAAUAAAAAGUGAGCGUGGCUUGCCUGAGCACUAAUACAUUGCAUUUAUUGGUUGGUGGGGGAGGGGUAAGAGCUCGGCCACGGCCUUGAGUCCACGAAGCAGCCGCGGCGCUUUGUGAAGGACAAGAUGGCGAUGGCGGGCCGUGCCGGCGGCCCUCUCUGUGAUGAGAGCCUUUUCACAGACCUGUACUGAGCUCCGUGAGGAUAAGAAACUCUGAAGAGACGGGCCUUGCACAGCCGAGAUGCGACACAGUCGUAGCUCCGGCGGACAAAACGAUUGUGAAAAAGCCGGUGUUGAUUUAAUGUCUUCUUGUCUGCAGGGUUCAGGCGCACGUCUGAACGCUAGAAUGGAAAAGAGCCGACCUGUUAGGAUGUGGUUCAGCUCAAAAGACCUUCCGGGUUGGAGGAUGGGACAAGACCCAUCCCUGCAAAGUAAGCUUCCAGUGAUGCUCCAGGUGGGUAUGCAGUGAUUUACCGCAGUUAAAGGUGGGCACUGUGUCUAGAUGGGGUUUGUUCUUGUUCAGAUUAUGCUGGCCACUCUGUGAUGAACAUAAAAAAGACAAGCAUAUGGCUGAUCUUAAAAGUGAUGUCAUCUUCCUGCUGAGAAGUGGACCAAGAGUAUUCAAGGACCUAUGAAUGGCUAUUUUUAGGUACAUAUAAUGCCUUCUUUUCUGUUUCCAGCGUCUCCUCCCCAGGCCUGAGGAAUCCAGCUGCCUCCAAGGGUGAAGACAGGUCGUCCUGAUGGUGGUAAUAUGUUGAUUUACCUUAUGAUGCCCACUGAUGUGCUCAGGGUCGAACUCGUGGAAAGAGUUAAGGAUGGAGCAGCUUGUUCGUGUAUACUACCAAAAGGCCUCCAGAGUUAACAGGUAUGGUUACCCAUAACCUGCUCAUUUGCUCAGAGGUUCAGCACCUUCUCUGGAGCCCAAGAAUGAUUUGAGGUACCCUCAGCCAUUUCUCUGCUCAGCUCCAGCCUGAAGUCAGGUCUGAAGAAGGAACAAGGCAUAGAUAAUGGACAGGGAGACGGAAUCCCAAGUAGACCUCAUGCUGUCCAGUGCAGAGCCCAACGCAGGACUUGAACUCUGAAACUGAGAUAACCUGAGCUGGAUUCAAUGGUUCAACAUAUAAUAGACUGAGCCAAUGAGGUGCCCCUAAAAAAAUUUUUCUUAAGUCAAUGCUAAAAGGCUUACUUUGGCCAAUUAUUGUGUUUAUCCUGUUGGUGUAAAUAUAACUUGAUGAGAAUAA